rnacentral:rRNA from 1 species
UGAGCAACCUACCGAGAUCUGGGGGAUAGCCGGCCCAACGGCCGGGUAAUACCGCAUACGCUCUUUCCACGGCAUUGUGGAUCGAGGAAACCUCCGGGGAUUUCGAGGGGCUCGCGGCCUAUCAGCUAGUUGGUGCGGUUACGGCGCACCAAGGCGACGACGGGUAGCUGGUCUGAGAGGAUGGCCAGCCACAUUGGGACUGAGACACGGCCCAGACUCCGUACGGGAGCAG